GACGAACGCUGGCGGCGUGCUUAACACAUGCAAGUCGAACGGAAAGGCCCUGCUUUUGUGGGGUGCUCGAGUGGCGAACGGGUGAGUAACACGUGAGUAACCUGCCCUUGACUUUGGGAUAACUUCAGGAAACUGGGGCUAAUACCGGAUAGGAGCUCCUGCUGCAUGGUGGGGGUUGGAAAGUUUCGGCGGUUGGGGAUGGACUCGCGGCUUAUCAGCUUGUUGGUGGGGUAGUGGCUUACCAAGGCUUUGACGGGUAGCCGGCCUGAGAGGGUGACCGGCCACAUUGGGACUGAGCUACGGCCCAGCCUCCUACGGGAGGCAGCAGUGGGGAGUAUUGCACAAUGGGCGGAAGCCUGAUGCAGCAACGCCGCGUGCGGGAUGACGGCCUUCGGGUUGUAAACCGCUUUCGCCUGUGACGAAGCGUGAGUGACGGUAAUGGGUAAAGAAGCACCGGCUAACUACGUG
rnacentral:rRNA from 1 species